ACCGUCGACAGUCAGGUAACGAGCGAGACCCCUGCGUCUAGUUGCUACCAUUACUCUCUGGAGCAGUGGAGCGAAUUAGACGGACCGCCACAGUAAAUGUGGAGGAAGGAAGGGGCCACGGCAGGUCAGUAUGCCCCGAAACCCUAGGGCUACACGCGGGCUGCAAUGGUAUUGACAAUGUGUUCCGAAUCCGAAAGGAGGAGGCAAUCAUCAAACAAUAUCUCAGUUAUGACUGAGGGCUGUAACUCGCCCUCACGAAUAUGGAAUCCCUAGUAACCGCGCGUCACUACCGCGCGGUGAAUACGUCCCUGCUCCUUGCACGAAUUCGCCG
rnacentral:rRNA from 1 species